CAUAAUGCCUCAUGCAGCUGCCUGGAGCCAUGCUGAGACCCUGGAUCUCACUGCCAUCUGGGGAGAAGAUUCAGUGCGGGAAGCUCUUUUGGCCAGCCACCAGAAUAAAGACCUUUUUGUGAACAUGUCAAAGCAGAUAUCCGUUGGGAUGCCAGCCAGUGCUGUAACAAGCAAAUCUAGGGAAAGAAUAUUGAAUUGAGGGGCAAAAGGAGGCAAUCCAGCAGGGGACAUGUGAGCUGUCCAUUUUUAUGAUGACCCAAACAAACUCCUAGACAAUUAUAGUGCAACCAUUCCCAGACAUGGGGUGCAGCCUGCUGGCCACGCUCUUCCCUCCCACCCCCACUGAGGAUGACUGGCAACACCCAUCAGAGGUUAAGCAGGCAGAUGCUGGCAAGGAGAUUUUCUAUGAGAACCAAGAUCUUUGUGGCACUCAAGUCCCUAAUGCUGGCCAGCUGCAAAGCCAGCCCCAGUCCUGCCCUACUGCAACAGACCACAAUUCCUGCCCUAUAUUGGCCAAGCUCAAGUCCCAGGCAAGAACUCAACAUGGGACCAAAGAGGCAGAUCCCCCAGAAGGAACUUCAGCACGUUUAAAACAAACUAAAGGAAGUAUUUCUUUACACAACGCACAGUCAACCUGUGGAACUCUUUGCCAGAGGAUAUUGUGAAGGCCAAGACUGUAACAGGGUUCAAAGAAGAACUAGACAUCAUGCCAAAAAUGGGGCCCCUAUCUACUGCUGAGAGACCAACAAACCUGAGGAGGCAAAAAAGAAAGGCUUGGUGGGGGAUGUUUGUAGAAAUCGUGGCAGAGUCCCCACGGAGGAUCACGCUGACUGCCGUGGAGGCAGUACAUGAUGGCCUAGAGGGAGGAAGAAAUGCAGCUCUCUGAGGAGAUUGUGGCAGUGGCCAAGGAAGUGUUGCCAUGUUCAAGGAAAACAUUCUCGUGGCCAUGGCGAGCACGGAGAAAGAGGAGGAGAUGCAGAGGCAACUCAUGGACACUAUAUGGAUGCAUAAUGCUUUCCUCCAAAACGUGCUCCUGCUGGGCGAGCAAGCCCUGCAAUCCUGUAAGACAGGAUCCAGCCAUGUCCUUCAGCCCACGGACAAUAUUGGCUACUGGGAUCAGCAGCAACUCCUCUCUACCUUAGCCAUGUGGCACUUGUCCCAGAGGCCAUUCCCCUCCCAGGUCCAAUAUGUGCCUACCAAGAGCAUUGGCUCCUUGGAGUCCAGGACUUUUGAGCCCUGCAACAUACCUGAGAAUUUUGCGUUGACUCACAGCACAACUCCAGAACUCCCGCAUACAAAAAGAAGCAGAGGAAAGACUUAUACACUUCUUGUGUACUGUCACAGAAACCAUAAAUGUAAGCUCUCUGGGGGUAAGGCACUGUCUUUCUAUUUGCAAGAGGUCUCUACGACUCCUGUAAUACAAGUAACAAAGCAACAAUAAAUCAGCUUCUGAUCACAAGAAGUAUCUAAUCCCUGCUUUGUGUGAAGCCCAGUGCCUUGAUUAAGUGUUUGUCCCAUCUCAGGUGCAAAGGCAUCACACUAAUAGACACAGUAUGAGACCUUGAAUAGACUGGAUUGUUGCUGGGCCAGUGUUUUUAAUGCAUAAAACACUUAUCUCUAGCCAGAAAAUGUUUGUAACUAGGGAUUGUGUAAAAAUGAGUCAAGUGCGCAGGUGAGGUCGUUCCAGUAUCAUAGUGACCCAGGGAACAAAGCCCUUAUUUUGGCAGUGUGGGUGCACUAGUACCAAGCUGUUACAGGGCGUGAGUUCCUCACCCUGUAGGGCAUCAGAAUUCCAAACGUAGGGCAAAAGCCUCACCCUAAUAAAGUCAGUGGGAAUUCUGACAUUAACUUCAAUGGAGCCAGCAUUUUAGCCCCUAGUCUCAAGAGAACAAUAGCAGGGGGCUUC